rnacentral:rRNA from 1 species
UACGUAGGGGGCAAGCGUUGUCCGGAUUUAUUGGGCGUAAAGAGCGUGUAGGCGGUCCGGUAAGUCCGCUGUGAAAGUCGAGGGCUCAACCCUCGAAUGCCGGUGGAUACUGUCGGGCUAGAGUGCGGAAGAGGCGAGUGGAAUUCCUGGUGUAGCGGUGAAAUGCGCAGAUAUCAGGAGGAACACCUAUUGCGAAGGCAGCUCGCUGGGACGUUACUGACGCUGAGACGCGAAAGCGUGGGGAGCAAACAGG